rnacentral:rRNA from 1 species
CAAUAGCGUAUAUUAAAGUUGUUGCAGUUAAAAGCUCGUAGUUGGAUUUCUGGUGAAAACGUUUGGACGGCCCAAUGGGUUUGCUCCUAUGCGUAUUUCGCCAUCCUUGGAGAGAACUUGUCUGGCAUUAAGUUGUCGGGCGGGGAUACCCAUCGUUUACUGGUGAAAAAUUAGAGUGUUUAAAGCAGGCUUAUGCCGUUGAAUAUAUUAGCAUGGAAUAAUAAGAUAGGACUUUGGAACUAUUUUGUUGGUUUGCGUUACAAAGUAAUGAUUAAUAGGGACAGUUGGGGGUAUUCGUAUUUCGUUGUCGAGAGGUGAAAUUCUUGGAUUUCCGAAAGACGAACUACUGCGAAAGCAUUUACCAAGGAUGUUUUCAUUAAUCAAGAACGAAAGUUAGGGGUAUCGAAGAUGAUUAGAUACC